ACCAUCAAUGAUGAUUACAAGGGACUUAAUACUGAAACAUGUGAUGUCACCUUUUAAACUUUUCUGAUGUGG